rnacentral:misc_RNA from 1 species
CAGAGUUGCAAAACUCCCACAAACCAUCGCGAAUCUUACCCGUACGGUUGCCUCGGCGCUGGCGGUCCGGAAGGCCCUCGGGCCCCCCGGAUCCUCGGGUCUCCCGCUCGCGGGAGGCCGCCCGCCGGAGUGCCGAAACCAAACUCUUGAUAUUUUAUGUCUCUCUGAGUAAACUUUUAAAUAAGUCA